rnacentral:lncRNA from 1 species
CUUUAUUAUAUUAUACAAUAUAUCAUUUGAAAGACUUAAUUGAAUUGUGCUUAUUAUUAUUAUACUAAUAUUUUUUCAUUCUUUGCAUGUUCAUUUCUAAGAACUUAUGCUUAAAUUUUGCAUUUGAGAUCUUUGUUGCCAUUACAUCAUCUAAACCACGUUUAACAUCACUUAUAAGUAAAUGAAAUACAAAAUUAUAUAUGUUCAAAGAAGUAUUUUAAAAAAU